rnacentral:rRNA from 1 species
CACGUAGGGCGCAAGCGUUGUCCGGAAUUAUUGGGCGUAAAGAGCUCGUAGGCGGUCUGUUGCGUCCGCUGUGAAAACCCGGGGCUUAACCCUGGGCUGGCAGUGGAUACGGACAGACUAGAGGUAGGUAGGGGAGAAUGGAAUUCCCGGUGUAGCGGUGAAAUGCGCAGAUAUCGGGAGGAACACCGGUGGCGAAGGCAGUGUCCUGGCGAGUGACUGACGCUGAGGUGCGAAAGCCAGGGGAGCGAACGGG